CGGCGCUGUGUGUGCUUACUGCGGGUUGUCUUCUGGACCCGCUGGCCGCUGCUUGGAUCCCUGGAGACUGGCAGGUGUGCGAGGGACGGACUUGUGAACUUGUGGACUGACUGAAAGUGAAAACUACAGGAAAAGCACACGUUUACGAGUCGGCAAGCGACGUAGUGGGUGUCGUCAACGAUUGCUUUAGUGUUCCAAGUCGACCCGAGGCUUCGAGGCCGAACCGCAACACACUCAUAAGAAUAGUUAACAGAGCACGGGCCUCGCAUCGGCCAAAGGAUCCUACUGACUUGUUCUUUGAGAUCGACCAUGACUACCUCGAGGAGACGAUACCUGAAGAAUUCUUACGGGCAACUGUAACAGCUGGAACCAAAAAGCACCUUAUAUUCUUUACAACAAAGUAAAUGCAUUUGUUACUUAGGGGAAAAACUUGGUUCAUUGAUGGCACCUUUAAAGUAGUCAAGAGUCCAUUCUGUCAACUGCUUUCAAUUCAUUGCUUUGUGAAAUAUGACAA